GGCGGCACAACUACAGCUAGGGCGAGGGCUCCGACAGAGGAACGAGGAAAGGAAGGCAAGUACUCUGCAAUAUGAUGGUAUGAGAUCCGCAAGGUAGAGGAUAGGAGCUUGGAAGAGUUGAUAUGCUCACCGAUUAUGUUCAGCAGGUGAGGAUGACUUCCAGGAUAUGCCAGAAGGCCCACGGACGAAGUAGACGAGGAGGCGGGAUGGACGCAUGGUACUGUCCGUUGUCCGGGAGGGCAGUGCAUACUGGAUCUACCAAGAGAGAUUUUCGUUUCUUAGUCACUCGGGUGGGGAAUGUUGAGGAGUUAUUGUUCUUAUCGAUAAACAUUUGUUGAUACAAUCUUGUCUAUUGGUUAUGAUAGUUCCUUUAUGGUU